rnacentral:rRNA from 1 species
GAUGAACGCUGGCGGCGUGCCUAAUACAUGCAAGUCGAGCGAACAUAUAAGGAGCUUGCUCCUUUGACGUUAGCGGCGGACGGGUGAGUAACACGUGGAUAACCUACCUAUAAGACGGGGAUCACUUCGGGAAACCGGAGCUAAUUCCGUAUAACAUAUUGAACCGCAUGGUUCAAUAGUGCACGGCGGCUUUGCUGUCACUUAUAGAUGGAUGCGCACCGUAUGCGCUAGUUGGUAAGGUCACGGCUUACCAAGGCAACGAUACGUAGCCGACCUGAGAGGGUGAUCGGCCAGACUGGAACUGAGACACGUUCCAGACUCCUACGGGAGGCAGCAGUAGGGAAUCUUCCGCAAUGGGCGAAAGCCUGACGGAGCAACGCCGCGUGAGUGAUGAAGGUCUUCGGAUCGUAAAACUCUGUUAUCAGGGAAGAACAAAUGUGUAAGUAACUGUGCACAUCUUGACGGUACCUGAUCAGAAAGCCACGGCUAACUACGUGCCAGCCGCCGCGGUAACAC